rnacentral:rRNA from 1 species
AGUGGCGGACGGGUGAGUAACGCGUAAGAAUCUAACUUCAGGACGGGGACAACAGUUGGAAACGACUGCUAAUACCCGAUGUGCCGCAAGGUGAAACCUAAUUGGCCUGGAGAAGAGCUUGCGUCUGAUUAGCUAGUUGGUGGGGUAAAGGCCUACCAAGGCGACGAUCAGUAGCUGGUCUGAGAGGAUGAGCAGCCACACUGGGACUGAGACACGGCCCAGACUCCUACGGGAGGCAGCAGUGGGGAAUUUUCCGCAAUGGGCGAAAGCCUGACGGAGCAACGCCGCGUGAGGGAGGAAGGUCUUUGGAUUGUAAACCUCUUUUCUCAAGGAAGAAGUUCUGACGGUACUUGAGGAAUCAGCCUCGGCUAACUCCGUGCCAGCAGCCGCGGUAAUACGGGGGAGGCAAGCGUUAUCCGGAAUUAUUGGGCGUAAAGCGUCCGCAGGUGGUCAGCCAAGUCUGCCGUCAAGUCAGGUUGCUUAACGACCUAAAGGCGGUGGAAACUGGCAGACUAGAGAGCAGUAGGGGUAGCAGGAAUUCCCAGUGUAGCGGUGAAAUGCGUAGAGAUUGGGAAGAACAUCGGUGGCGAAAGCGUGCUACUGGGCUGUAUCUGACACUCAGGGACGAAAGCUAGGGGAGCGAAAGGGAUUAGAUACCCCUGUAGUCCUAGCCGUAAACGAUGGAUACUAGGCGUGGCUU